rnacentral:lncRNA from 1 species
GGAGCUGAGCUGGGCACUCCUCAGUGCGUGGAUUGUGAGCUAUUGCAGAACUCAGUUCUCAGGACCCAUUAUUUCAACAUUUGGCAGAAACACAUCCAAAAGGUGUGCAGAGGACUGAGGAGGUCGGGAGAAUCUGGAGACUCCAGUGACAUCAGAGCUACUUUUCAUCGACCUUCUCAACUUCCUCUCCCACACAGCAGAGACUCAGCCGUGGAGACAGAUGGUGAGAAUCCGUUCCCUCCGUUCUUUGGCUUCUCUUUGUGACUUUAAUGUGUUUGGGUGAUUCUUUCUCAGUUGUAAAUUAGCUUACAGUUACCAGAUAUGUGUGCUGUGUUUUAUCUGUAUGAAUUAUUUCUUUAGGCAGUGUGGUAAGAUCCAAUUUAAGGAAUUCACAGUAGAGAAAUGUAAGCAAAUGGUAAAAGAGGUCAAGUGUACAAAAACCAAACUGCUUCUGAAUAGAAAUGGGUAGAUUACUUCUGUAGAGAUGGAGUGAAAAUUGUGUUUGUGUUGAUGGCAUUUAAUUUGUUUUUAUCCAAACCCAUAGUUAAUAUCGGAAAUAGUAAUACUACUUCAUGGAAAAAGUUAAUUGUUUGGAGAAGAAAUAGAAAUGUUUAAUUGUUGUGGGCAUGUGGAGUUGUGUAAAUUGAUUACCUUCUAUAAGGCAUUUUUGAGAUGUGAUAAAAUAAUUUGGUUUGCAUUAACACAAGAGAUGAGUGAAGAGUAAAUUCCAGUUGAAAUAAUAACAGGACUGUUUCUCCAGUGUAAGUGCAGCCUUGGACCUUAUGUAAUUUAUUCCUGGGCUCCAGCAGUCCGUGCAAGCUAGGAAAAAGCAAAGUGAUGCAUUAUUGUGUUUGUAAGGUCUCAGGAAGAGUUUGCUUUCAGCUUGAGAACUGGAAACUCUGGUCGAAAAAAGUAGCAGCUGCACGCUAAAUUCACAUUGUUUUAACUGACUGAGUCUGGGGAACAGGGGUGGUAAUUUUGAGGCAACUUCUGUUCAGAAAACCUAGGUGUGAGAAGCUUAAUUGUUCUCCUUAAUGUUUAUCUCAUUUUUAUCAUAUUUUCUUGUCAUCUCACCAAGAAGUUGCUUACAACAUUCUGUUUUAAAAACUGCAUGAACUCAGAUGUAUUUGGUCACUUGUUAUUUUUCACCUUUUUAAACAUUCCCUUCCUCUAAGUUAGAACAUAUAUCACCUCUGCUUCUAUUUAUUAACCAUGGUUAUUUCAUUCAUGCACCUUAUGCAUCCCGUACUGAAAUCUGUUGGUUUAUAUGGUGAAACAUUGAACUCCUUUCUCAACUUCUAAGUUGGUUCAAAUGAAGGUGGCCCCCCUCCUUCCCAGGUGUGAUGAGUUUAUUGGCAUUUACCAAGAUCUUGUUUGACUGAGUUACCAGAAGUUGCAAUCACUUGAAGUUGAGCAGGACACUGAUGGGGAACAUAUAGGCAAUAUGAAAUUCUUAGAAAAUCAGCACAUUUAGCUGCUGUGGUGGCCCUGUAAUCUGACCCUGGAGGCUAAGACAGGGCAGUAUUGAGUUCCAGACCAGAGUGGUUAGUGAGUAGUGGUGUCACCAGUAGUGGUCAGAGACAUCAUGUCUCACGAGAAGAAGUGGGUCUGGGCAAACUAUCAGUGUAGAUUUUCCUUCUGAGAAGAGUGGACGACUUUGAAAAUACAAAAAUAAAGCAUCGGUAGUGAUGUACUUAUUUAUUUUA